rnacentral:ncRNA from 1 species
GAAUUGUGAUGGUCCCUACGAAUGCUAAUGCACUGUGAUUUUUGCCUAGUGCCCUGAAUGUUAAAGUGAAUAAAUUCAACCAAGCACGGGUAAACGACAGGAUUAAAUAUGAAUCUCUUAAGGUAGCCAAAUGCCUUGUCAUCUAAUUUGUGAUGCACAUGAAUGGAUUAACUAGAUUCCCACUAUCCCUAUCUAUUUUCUAGCGAAAUCACAACCAAGGGAAUGGGCUUGGAAUAAUCAAUAGGGAAAGAAGACCUUAUUGAGCUUGACUCUAGUACGACAUUGUGAAAUGACUUGAAAGGUGUAGAGAAAGUGGGAUUCUUUUUCAACACAAAUGAAAUACAAGUAAUUUAAAUGUUAUUUUACUUAUUGUGUGGGGAAGAGAGGAGCAUUUACCCUAUUUUUAUCCUUAAGACACAUUUCGAUGGGUUGAUCUGGGCGAAAGACAUUGUCAGGUGGGGAUUUUGGAUGGGGAGACACAUCUGUUAAAAGAUAACAUAAAAUAUAAUUGGUGUAGAUAGAACAUUUGUAUUUGGGUGAUCCUAAUGCAAAACCACCCUUAUUACAUUUCCCUCCUAAUUUGUAGU